AUUAGAUACUGGGAAACUUUCUAUCAAAUGCAGGUAAUUCCCUUCUCCUCCAUACUGAGAGAUUAAAUGACUUUUAGACAUACAGCCAAUAUGUGUCAGAGGGGACUAAUACUCGUCUUUUUGCCUCCAGGACAGGUCUCUAUCUAUUAUGUAACACUGCCUCUCUUGACCUGUUUGUGAAAUGUGGGACUACAUGAUCUUUGGUACUAAAGAACUAUUACAGAAAAUGCAAACUAGAGAGAUGACUUCUAAUGCUCUCUACCCAUCCCCUCUGAAGAAGAAUGUAGCCUCCUGGGACAGACUGGGAUUGGCAGGGUUUACCUCAGUCUCUA
rnacentral:lncRNA from 1 species